GGUUAAGCGACUAAGCGUACACGGUGGAUGCCCUGGCAGUCAGAGGCGAUGAAGGACGUGCUAAUCUGCGAUAAGCGUCGGUAAGGUGAUAUGAACCGUUAUAACCGGCGAUUUCCGAAUGGGGAAACCCAGUGUGUUUCGACACACUAUCAUUAACUGAAUCCAUAGGUUAAUGAGGCGAACCGGGGAACUGAAACAUCUAAGUACCCCGAGGAAAAGAAAUCAACCGAGAUUCCCCCAGUAGCGGCGAGCGAACGGGGAGCAGCCCAGAGCCUGAAUCAGUGUGUGUGUUAGUGGAAGCGUCUGGAAAGGCGCGCGAUACAGGGUGACAGCCCCGUACACAAAAAUGCACAUGCUGUGAGCUCGAUGAGUAGGGCGGGACACGUGGUAUCCUGUCUGAAUAUGGGGGACCAUCCUCCAAGGCUAAAUACUCCUGACUGACCGAUAGUGAACCAGUACCGUGAGGGAAAGGCGAAAAGAACCCCGGCGAGGGGAGUGAAAAAGAACCUGAAACCGUGUACGUACAAGCAGUGGGAGCACGCUUAGGCGUGUGACUGCGUACCUUUUGUAUAAUGGGUCAGCGACUUAUAUUCUGUAGCAAGGUUAACCGAAUAGGGGAGCCGAAGGGAAACCGAGUCUUAACUGGGCGUUAAGUUGCAGGGUAUAGACCCGAAACCCGGUGAUCUAGCCAUGGGCAGGUUGAAGGUUGGGUAACACUAACUGGAGGACCGAACCGACUAAUGUUGAAAAAUUAGCGGAUGACUUGUGGCUGGGGGUGAAAGGCCAAUCAAACCGGGAGAUAGCUGGUUCUCCCCGAAAGCUAUUUAGGUAGCGCCUCGUGAAUUCAUCUCCGGGGGUAGAGCACUGUUUCGGCAAGGGGGUCAUCCCGACUUACCAACCCGAUGCAAACUGCGAAUACCGGAGAAUGUUAUCACGGGAGACACACGGCGGGUGCUAACGUCCGUCGUGAAGAGGGAAACAACCCAGACCGCCAGCUAAGGUCCCAAAGUCAUGGUUAAGUGGGAAACGAUGUGGGAAGGCCCAGACAGCCAGGAUGUUGGCUUAGAAGCAGCCAUCAUUUAAAGAAAGCGUAAUAGCUCACUGGUCGAGUCGGCCUGCGCGGAAGAUGUAACGGGGCUAAACCAUGCACCGAAGCUGCGGCAGCGACGCUUAUGCGUUGUUGGGUAGGGGAGCGUUCUGUAAGCCUGCGAAGGUGUGCUGUGAGGCAUGCUGGAGGUAUCAGAAGUGCGAAUGCUGACAUAAGUAACGAUAAAGCGGGUGAAAAGCCCGCUCGCCGGAAGACCAAGGGUUCCUGUCCAACGUUAAUCGGGGCAGGGUGAGUCGACCCCUAAGGCGAGGCCGAAAGGCGUAGUCGAUGGGAAACAGGUUAAUAUUCCUGUACUUGGUGUUACUGCGAAGGGGGACGGAGAAGGCUAUGUUGGCCGGGCGACGGUUGUCCCGGUUUAAGCGUGUAGGCUGGUUUUCCAGGCAAAUCCGGAAAAUCAAGGCUGAGGCGUGAUGACGAGGCACUACGGUGCUGAAGCAACAAAUGCCCUGCUUCCAGGAAAAGCCUCUAAGCAUCAGGUAACAUCAAAUCGUACCCCAAACCGACACAGGUGGUCAGGUAGAGAAUACCAAGGCGCUUGAGAGAACUCGGGUGAAGGAACUAGGCAAAAUGGUGCCGUAACUUCGGGAGAAGGCACGCUGAUAUGUAGGUGAGGUCCCUCGCGGAUGGAGCUGAAAUCAGUCGAAGAUACCAGCUGGCUGCAACUGUUUAUUAAAAACACAGCACUGUGCAAACACGAAAGUGGACGUAUACGGUGUGACGCCUGCCCGGUGCCGGAAGGUUAAUUGAUGGGGUUAGCGCAAGCGAAGCUCUUGAUCGAAGCCCCGGUAAACGGCGGCCGUAACUAUAACGGUCCUAAGGUAGCGAAAUUCCUUGUCGGGUAAGUUCCGACCUGCACGAAUGGCGUAAUGAUGGCCGGGCUGUCUCCACCCGAGACUCAGUGAAAUUGAACUCGCUGUGAAGAUGCAGUGUACCCGCGGCAAGACGGAAAGACCCCGUGAACCUUUACUAUAGCUUGACACUGAACAUUGAGCCUUGAUGUGUAGGAUAGGUGGGAGGCUUAGAAGUGUGGACGCCAGUCUGCAUGGAGCCGACCUUGAAAUACCACCCUUUAAUGUUUGAUGUUCUAACGUUGACCCGUAAUCCGGGUUGCGGACAGUGUCUGGUGGGUAGUUUGACUGGGGCGGUCUCCUCCUAAAGAGUAACGGAGGAGCACGAAGGUUGGCUAAUCCUGGUCGGACAUCAGGAGGUUAGUGCAAUGGCAUAAGCCAGCUUGACUGCGAGCGUGACGGCGCGAGCAGGUGCGAAAGCAGGUCAUAGUGAUCCGGUGGUUCUGAAUGGAAGGGCCAUCGCUCAACGGAUAAAAGGUACUCCGGGGAUAACAGGCUGAUACCGCCCAAGAGUUCAUAUCGACGGCGGUGUUUGGCACCUCGAUGUCGGCUCAUCACAUCCUGGGGCUGAAGUAGGUCCCAAGGGUAUGGCUGUUCGCCAUUUAAAGUGGUACGCGAGCUGGGUUUAGAACGUCGUGAGACAGUUCGGUCCCUAUCUGCCGUGGGCGCUGGAGAACUGAGGGGGCUGCUCCUAGUACGAGAGGACCGGAGUGGACGCAUCACUGGUGUUCGGGUUGUCAUGCCAAUGGCACUGCCCGGUAGCUAAAUGCGGAAGAGAUAAGUGCUGAAAGCAUCUAAGCACGAAACUUGCCCCGAGAUGAGUUCUCCCUGACUCCUUGAGAGUCCUGAAGGAACGUUGAAGACGACGACGUUGAUAGGCCGGGUGUGUAAGCGCAGCGAUGCGUUGAGCUAACCGGUACUAAUGAACCGUGAGGCUUAACCUU
rnacentral:rRNA from 1 species